rnacentral:sRNA from 1 species
GGUAGUGGAUUAUCAGAACUUAUUAACAUUAGUGUCACUAAAGUUGGUGUUUCAACCCCCCACUGCUAAAA